GACGGAGGGAGCAAGCGUUGUUCGGAUUUACUGGGCGUAAAGGGCGUCUAGGCGGAAUGGUAAGUCAGGUGUGAAACCCCCCGGCUCAACCGGGGAUCUGCACUUGAUACUGCCAAUCUUGAGUAUGGAAGAGGAAAGCGGAAUUCCAGGUGUAGCGGUGAAAUGCGUAGAUAUCUGGAAGAACACCGGUGGCGAAGGCGGCUUUCUGGUCCAAUACUGACGCUAAAGCGCGAAAGUGUGGGGAGCAAACAGG
rnacentral:rRNA from 1 species